UCCCUGGUGGCUCAGGUGUUAAAGCGUCUGCUUGGAAUGCAGGAGACCCAGGUUUGAUCCCUGGGUUGGGAA
rnacentral:tRNA from 1 species